UACGUAGGGGGCGAGCGUUGUCCGGACUUACUGGGCGUAAAGCGCGUGCAGGUGGCGCGGGACGUGUCGUGUGAAAGCGUUGGGCUUACCCCAACGAGGUCAUGGCAGACGCCCGUGCUGGAGGCUCGGAGAGGCCAGUGGAAUUCCGGGUGGAGCGGUGAAAUGCGUAGAGCUCCGGAAGAACACCAGGGGCGAAAGCGGCUGGCUGGCCGAGACCUGACACUGAGGCGCGACGGCGUGGGGAGCAAACCGG
rnacentral:rRNA from 1 species